CCAAGUGUCAGUGGGAAGGAGAUCCCUUUCCUGAUGGGGCUGCCUGUGUCCAGUCCCUCCCAGCUUCCCCAGGGCCCUGGGGCUCUGCAGGCAUUCAGAAGUGGAAGCCAGCCACAGCCUGGGACUGAAGAGGAUCACCUCCUCGCACGGGGAGCAUCUCCUACAUCAACAUCAUCAUGCCUUCGGUGUUCGGCACCAUCUGCCUCCUGGGCAUCAUCGGGAACUCCACGGUCAUCUUCGCGGUCGUGAAGAAGUCCAAGCUGCGCUGGUGCAACAACGUCCCCGACAUCUUCAUCAUCAACCUCUCGGUAGUAGAUCUCCUCUUUCUCCUGGGCAUGCCCUUCAUGAUCCACCAGCUCAUGGGCAAUGGGGUGUGGCACUUUGGGGAGACCAUGUGCACCCUCAUCACGGCCAUGGAUGCCAAUAGUCAGUUCACCAGCACCUACAUCCUGACCGCCAUGGCCAUUGACCGCUACCUGGCCACUGUCCACCCCAUCUCUUCCACGAAGUUCCGGAAGCCCUCUGUGGCCACCCUGGUGAUCUGCCUCCUGUGGGCCCUCUCCUUCAUCAGCAUCACCCCCGUGUGGCUGUAUGCCAGACUCAUCCCCUUCCCAGGAGGUGCAGUGGGCUGCGGCAUACGCCUGCCCAACCCAGACACUGACCUCUACUGGUUCACCCUGUACCAGUUUUUCCUGGCCUUUGCCCUGCCCUUUGUGGUCAUCACAGCCGCAUACGUGAGGAUCCUGCAGCGCAUGACGUCCUCAGUGGCCCCCGCCUCCCAGCGCAGCAUCCGGCUGCGGACAAAGAGGGUGACCCGCACAGCCAUCGCCAUCUGUCUGGUCUUCUUUGUGUGCUGGGCACCCUACUAUGUGCUACAGCUGACCCAGUUGUCCAUCAGCCGCCCAACCCUCACCUUUGUCUACUUAUACAAUGCGGCCAUCAGCUUGGGCUAUGCCAACAGCUGCCUCAACCCCUUUGUGUACAUCGUGCUCUGUGAGACGUUCCGCAAACGCUUGGUCCUGUCGGUGAAGCCUGCAGCCCAGGGGCAGCUUCGCGCUGUCAGCAACGCUCAGACGGCUGACGAGGAGAGGACAGAAAGCAAAGGCACCUGAUACUUCCCCUGCCACCCUGCACACCUCCAAGUCAGGACACCACAGCACGCCACCGGGAGAGGUGCUGAGAAAAACCCAAGACCGCUCGGGAAAUGCAGGAAGGCCGGGUGGUGAGGGGUUGUUGCAAUGAAAUAAAUACAUUCCAUGGGGCUCAC
rnacentral:sRNA from 1 species